AGAAACUAGUUCCCGUACGAUCACCGAAGUUAAGCAACGUAGAGCGUGGUCAGUACCUAGAUGGGUUACCGGUUGAGAAUACCAGGUGCUGUAG